UGGGGAAUCUUCCGCAAUGGACGAAAGUCUGACGGAGCAACGCCGCGUGAGUGAAGACGGCCUUCGGGUUGUAAAGCUCUGUGAUCCGGGACGAAAGAGCCUGAGGUGAAUAGCCUAAGGCAGUGACGGUACCGGAAAAGCAAGCCACGGCUAACUACGUGCCAGCAGCCGCGGUAAUACGUAGGUGGCAAGCGUUGUCCGGAAUUAUUGGGCGUAAAGCGCGCGCAGGCGGCUUCCUAAGUCCAUCUGAAAAGUGCGGGGCUUAACCCCGUGAUGGGAUGGAAACUGGGAAGCUGGAGUAUCGGAGAGGAAAGUGGAAUUCCUAGUGUAGCGGUGAAAUGCGUAGAGAUUAGGAAGAACACCGGUGGCGAAGGCGACUUUCUGGACGAAAACUGACGCUGAGGCGCGAAAGCGUGGGGAGCAAACAGG
rnacentral:rRNA from 1 species